rnacentral:rRNA from 1 species
ACGGCCGCAAGGUUAAAACUCAAAGGAAUUGACGGGGACCCGCACAAGCGGUGGAUUAUGUGGAUUAAUUCGAUGCAACGCGAAAAACCUUACCUACCCUUGACAUGUCCUGGAGCCCGGAGAGAUCCGGGUGUGCCCGAAAGGGAACGGGAACACAGGUGCUGCAUGGCUGUCGUCAGCUCGUGUCGUGAGAUGUUGGGUUAAGUCCCGCAACGAGCGCAACCCUUGCCAUUAGUUGCUACAUUCAGUUGGGCACUCUAAUGGGACUGCCGGUGACAAACCGGAGGAAGGUGGGGAUGACGUCAAGUCCUCAUGGCCCUUAUGGGUAGGGCUUCACACGUAAUACAAUGGUCGGUACAGAGGGUUGCCAAAGCGCGAGCUGGAGCCAAUCCCAGAAAGCCGAUCGUAGUCCGGAUUGCAGUCUGCAACUCGACUGCAUGAAGUCGGAAUCGCUAGUAAUCGCGGAUCAGCAUGUCGCGGUGAAUACGUUCCCGGGUCUUGUACACACCGCCCGUCACACCAUGGGAGCGGGUUUCACCAGAAGCCGGUAGCCUAACCGCAAGGAAGGCGCCGACCACGGUGAGAUUCGUGACUGGGGUG